UAAAAAACAAAGUUUUACUUGUUCAAAACUAUUGGAUUUUCUAUGAGAAGGUUUAUAUCGCAACAAAUAAAUAGACAACGCCAACUAUUCAAUAAUUGAUAUCAUAAAAUAGAAAUAGAGUCGAAAGAUUUCUGACCAACCAAAAUAAAAUCAGGCAUAAACAAUCAAACCACAACUUAAAUCAUAUGAAGAAGGUAAUAUAUAGAGAUGGGACAAAAGACCGAUGACAAGCAGAAAGCAACAGGCAACAACAAUUGCUCGCCGCAAAGAAUAGAUCAUGUUUUCAUACCUACCAAGUGCUCAGUUCGUAAGUAUCGCAGAUAAAAUAAAAAUAAAACAGAACAUUAACAUUAUAGAACAUGGAUCCUAAAGCUGCACACAUAUCACAAUAUAAUCAUUGAAAGGCUUAUAAUACAUUCUAUAAUAAGAUAGAACAAGUCUUUCC